GUUCACUUAGUAUUCAUAAGAUGACAUAUUUUGUAAAUUAUUGUUUAGUAAAUAUCACAAGUUCCAAGAAGUUUAUUGGAAAUUUAAGGUUAAAAAGCUAUAAAUUUUUGCAUUUCAUAUUCACUGUUCAUAUUUGAGUGGCUUCAUAACAGAGUCACAUUUUAAAAAGGUCUUCUCAAAUAGGACUCCAGUUCUACUUCAUUGCUUUUUGGAAAUGGGGCUGUCUUUAAGAGGAAUAGCCAGGGGCACUCUUAUUGUGCCGCUAGAGGUGAAAUUCUUGGACUGGAGUAAGACAGCCUAGAGUUAAAGCAUUUACUAAGAACAUUUUCAUCAAUCAGGAACAAAAGUCAGAUUUUUGAAGACAACCAGAUAUCAUCAUAGUUUUGACCAUAACUGAUGCCACCUGGUAAUAAAUUUUUUUGAGGGGAAGUCUCUGUGGCACAGUUGGUUAGCACAUUCAGCUGCUAACCGAAAGGUUGGC
rnacentral:ncRNA from 1 species